GGUUGACAAGGGAACAGACAUUCCCUGAAGCACCCAACCCGGGCUGAGGACUGAGGCGGGCGUGGGUGGAAUAGCCAGGUGCGGAGUCUCGUUCUGGAACAUCCGUGGGCCCUACAGUCUACGGGCAGGCCAGGGACUCUCCCGCCGGAGCGUCCUCGGUUCCCCAGAGAAGGAGUCUCAGCUUAACAGUUACAGACGCAAAUGUUCCCCGGUGGCCUUAUUACAAGGGGCCUCCCUUCUCUCUUCAUCUCUGUGCAACAAGAUCAGGGGUUGCUGAGGGCUCCAAACAGUGGCAGGAAACACCCCUGGUGAAUGUAGGGAAACCUGUCCUGGUCCCGCGCCCGAUGCCACCAUGAACAGCUGCCUGCACACCUCCAGCAACGUCACCCUCCUGACGUCCUCGGUCUCCAGUGUGACCGGGAUAGUUUUCCUCCUCCUGGCCGCUCUGAUCGGGCUGCCGGGCAACCUCUUCGUGGUGUGGAGCAUCCUGUGGAAGAUGAAGCCCAGCUGCCGUUCGGUCACCUGCCUGCUGGUCCUCAACCUGGCCAUGGCCGAUGGGGCCGUCCUCCUGCUCACGCCCUUCUUCAUCCUCUUCCUCACUUUCAAGACCUGGCUCUUUGGCCCCAUCGUCUGCAAAGGCGUCUACUACCUCUGCUGUGUCAACAUGUAUGCCAGCAUCUUCAUCAUCACGCUCAUGAGCGUGGACCGGUGCUUGGCCGUCAGCCGGCCCUACCUCUCCCAAGCCAUCCGCAAGAAGCGCCUGGUGGUCAAGAUCUUGGCCGCCAUCUGGGCAGUGGCCAUCUUGUUGGCCGUCCCGGCCUUCGUGUAUCGCCAGCUCCUGUCAGACCCGUCCGGGCGGUGGCAGAUCUGCGAGCCGUGCCACGCCACACCGGGCCUGGCUGUCUUCCACUUCACCAUGGAGACGGUGGUGGCCUUUGUGGUGCCCUUUGCAGUCAUUGUGGGCUGCUACUCCGCCAUCUUGGUGCGGCUGCGGGGGCGGCGGUGGCACCGCCGGGGAGCACGGACGGGGAAGCUCAUCGCCGCCGUGGUGCUUUGCUUCGCCGCCCUCUGGGUGCCUUACCAUGUGGUCAACGUGCUGCAGGUGGCCUCCAACAUGGCCUCGGAGAGGGCGGCGGAGAGCCUGGGCCACGCGUGGAAGGCUGGCCGGGCGGGGGCCACCGCCCUGGCCUUCCUCAGCAGCAGCAUUAACCCCGUCCUCUAUGUCUUCGCCGCCGGGGAUCUGAUCAAGACCUCAGGGGCCAAGUUCAUUGCCCAGUUCUUCGAGGGGGCCUCCGGGGAGGUGCACAAGAAGUCGCCCUCCCAGAGGGACCUAGACAAGGACACAGUGGCAGGAGAGGGCGUGGAGCUAAGGCAGCUUCAGGCAGGUGGGGAGGGGGCCAAGCAGGACGGGGCCAUGCACCAGCUGACACCCCCUGGACAGGGUCCAUACCAAGCUGCAUCCCCUUAGCCCUCACUGAUGCAGUACCACUGCCCUUGUGGGUGCUUUCCCUUUAAGGGUGGAGUUUCUCUCUGCCAGACAUGGUUUCUCAUGGAUACUUGCUCUUUAAGAGCAGCGUUUUACUGUCAGACUCACGCUCAUGGACACUUUCUCUUUAAGAGCAGGUCCUCAUGGACACCUCCCCUUUAAUUUGCUCUUAAAGAAGAGUUUCUCACUGCCAAACAUUUCUCACUGCCAGAUUCUGGGCCUUGUGGAUUCUUCCCCUUUAAGAGCAGAGUUUCUCACUGCCAGACUUUGGUCCUCCUGGACACUACCCCUUGAAUUUGCUCUUAAAGAGGAAUUUUUCAUUGCCAAACAUUUCUCUCUGCCAGAUUCUGGUCCUCAUAGGUGUUUCCCCUUUAAUUUGCUCUUAAAGGGGAAUUUCUUACUGCCAAACACUGCUGCCUUACCUUCUUGUGCCCCUCCUAUGUCACGGGACACGCCCUUCACAGGUGCAGUUUAUCCCUGCCAGACUCCAUCCAGCAUGGAGACUUGCCCUUUAAGGGUGGAAUUUCUCACUGCCAGACUUUGAUCCUCAGGGAAACGUCCCCCUUAAGGAUACCAUUUCUCACUGCCAGAGUCCAAAUUUCAGGGUCACUUCCCCUUCAAAGGGCAUUUAAAGGGGAAGGUCUUCAUGCUGGACUCCCAUUCCCAUGCUGUAUUAAUGGGAGCACACUGCUGCCCCCUUGUGGGCAUUUCGAUUCCAGGUCCUAGACUAGAAAGACAGGAACUGCCCUGCUCCCAGGGCCCACGCCGCUGGCCCUUGCCCCAUGGACUCAUGCGGUUACCAGCUGUAGGUGCCGUGAAUACAGAGCAGCACCCGUUCUGCCCAAUAACCGCCUCAUCCCACUGGCAGUGCAGAAGACAGGCCAGGCCAGCUCCUCACCUGAUGUAAUACAAAGGUCACCUCCCCCGGGCCACCCAGGUCUCAGCGGGGCGGAUCUGCCUGUGGGUUACCCAACACUGCUGAAGCUUCCGCUGGAUGCUUGUACCCGCUGACUCAGCCC